AUUACUCCUACGGGAGGCAGCAGUGGGGAAUUUUGGACAAUGGGGGCAACCCUGAUCCAGCCAUUCCGCGUGAGUGAAGAAGGCCUUCGGGUUGUAAAGCUCUUUCGCAAGGGAAGAAAACUUAUGAUCGAAUAAAUCAUGAGGUUGACGGUACCUUGAUAAGAAGCACCGGCUAACUACGUGCCAGCAGCCGCGGUAA
rnacentral:rRNA from 1 species